rnacentral:lncRNA from 1 species
GUGAUAACCCGAAAAUUUCUAAAAUCUUGAAUGAUUAGAAUAAAGGUUAAAGAAUAAAACCUAGAUGAGAAUUUGAGGAUUUAUUUAAAUUUUUCAAGUAAAACCUAUAUGGUUUGCUAUUCGAAUGAGAAUAGAGAAAAUAUGGGUUACAAAAUUCCAAAACCCUAGAAAUGAAUUAAUAUGUACUUGAAGGAAUAUUAAGAAUAAGGUAUUACGAUACCUUUAAAUUCGAUGUGAACG